CCGUCUUCUUCUCAAAUCUCAUUCUCGCGCCGUCUGUCUCCUUCUCAAAUCUCAAUCUCGCUCAGUCGCUCGCUCUCAUUCUCACGAUUCUCUCGCAAUUGGUCGUCCACGCCUCCACGGUCCAUCUCCGGCGACGUCCUCCAGCUUUCCUCCAGCGCUCAGCUCGCGGUUUUCCGCCCGAAAGUGGAUGAGAUCUCGCUCCUCACAGUCAACACUCAACAUCUCCAGCUUCUUCCUGAAUGGAAUCCGCAACUUCUCAUUCGCAUCCACUGCUACUUACUUCUGAACCAUCAAAGCAACAAAGCGCUUCAACAAAUGAUGAGGGUACUAGUAGAAAACGAUCAGCAGCAGAAGAUUCCUCAGAAAAACCUCCUUUAGCUCCUACAAAGAGAGGUUAAUAUUUUUAGAUGAUUUCGACAAGAUGAAGGGUUUGGUGUUCAAGAAUUAAGAUCAAGACAACUACUAGUUUUUGCUAAUUAUUGUGAUGGAGUUUGUUCAAACUUUAUGGUGUGUUUUUUUGUACUUGGUUGUGUAGUAUUUUGAUUAUGGAGAUAAGAACACUAUUAAUUUUAUUGUGUUAGAAGUUUUAUUAA